GAAAAGCAGUCGGUUAAUACCCGAUUGUUCUGACGGUACCCAAAGAAUAAGCACCGGCUAACUUCGUGCCAGCAGCCGCGGUAAUACGAAGGGUGCAAGCGUUACUCGGAAUUACUGGGCGUAAAGCGUGCGUAGGUGGUGGUUUAAGUCUGUUGUGAAAGCCCUGGGCUCAACCUGGGAAUUGCAGUGGAUACUGGGUCACUAGAGUGUGGUAGAGGGUAGCGGAAUUCCCGGUGUAGCAGUGAAAUGCGUAGAGAUCGGGAGGAACAUCCGUGGCGAAGGCGGCUACCUGGACCAACACUGACACUGAGGCACGAAAGCGUGGGGAGCAAACAGGAUUAGAUACCCUGGUAGUCCACGCCCUAAACGAUGCGAACUGGAUGUUGGGUGCAAUUUGGCACGCAGUAUCGAAGCUAACGCGUUAAGUUCGCCGCCUGGGGAGUACGGUCGCAAGACUGAAACUCAAAGGAAUUGAC
rnacentral:rRNA from 1 species